UUGGAUUGAACUUAAAAGAAUGGAAACAAGAAGAAUAUUAUUUUCUUAUAAAAAAUAUGGUAGGGAGAAGUAUAAAAUGACCUAAUUGUUAAUACUUUUUCUUCUUCUUUUUUUAAUAGAUGGAGAAGCGCUAUUUUACAGACAAGAAUCAGAUGGAAAAAUAGCUGAAAGCACAUCAGAAAAACAGAAAAGAGAAUUAGGUAUGUUAUCUUAACUUUACCAGCUCUUACUAAGCCAAGGACAGCGUGGUUUCAACACAACAGACAAUUUUGAUGGGGGAAGGUGGGACACUGGAACUCGGGGCCUAGCAAUGGCGAGGAAAACAGCUGGAGAGGUGUCUGCCCUGUCUGUGAGAAGAAUGUCUAGCACACAACAGUGAAAUCUUCACAGCUCUAUUUAUCUCUCUUUGUUGAAGUCUUAGAACCAUGACAAAAAGAUAUGGUUAUGGCAAUGAAGUCAAUAAGCAGUGUAUGUAACUCCAAGGACUGCCAGAAAAAUGAGGAAAAAACAUAUGCUUUCAAAGCGUCACAAUCAAAUCACCUUCUUGUGCUAGCAAUACAGUUUUCAAACAUGAUCUUCUGUUAUUCACAUUAGGUGGCUUUUUGUUCAGUAAUUUGAACUUUGCUGACCCAAACAGAAGAAAGAAAUCUCUUGUUGGUUCACUCCUUGACCUUGGAUUUAAUGCUCGCGAAAGGGCUGAAGAUCGGUGGAGAAAACAUCGAGAUACUGAUAGUUUAGUGUUAAAAGACACUCCAGCAGGUACUGUUAGAGAAAAAUGCUUACCUAGGAAACAAGUGCUUUUUUUCAUUUAGGACAACCUGAUAAUUUUUGUAUUAUUUGCAGCACAUGGCCUUAAUAUUAAUAGUGGAGAAUAUAAAAAAAACUAAUUUCAGGGCCAAUGAGACUGAUGAAUUCUGUCUUUAGAGAGUUUUGGCCAAGAUGUUUAUAUUAAGUUACAUUUUUUUCCUGAUAGGUUUAAUUUUCUUAUGCUAUUUUUCUACUUGGAGCUAUUAUUAUAAUUAUAAAUCAUUUUUAUAUUGUUUAAAUUAAUUAAGAUACUUCUGGGACCCAAAUUUAGUGUAAGGUUUCUCUACACAUGUUUUCAUCUCCAACCACAGUUUAUUUUCAAUACCAUGAUUCUCUCUUUAAAUUACGUACUCAGUUGUCUGAGUAAUACUAUAAAACAGGGUUUCUAAACAUUUUAUAGACUGCAAUUUUGUUUUGUUUGAGAGAAAAUUAACUUUCUAUAGAUGAGACAUGUUCUCUCUGCUUCUACAUACUUCUCCCAAUUGGCCAACUUUUACUUUACUUUCCUAGCCCCUGAAAUCUCUAUAGUUCAUACCUAUAAACAAACAAACAAACAAACAAACAACCAGAAAAGAAAGAGAUCCAAUGAGGAAAAUAACUUCAAUAUUUAUAUUGAAAUUUGAGUCCGAGUGAUGAUAACUGAAAAGGGAGAAACAGCUUUGGGUGCAAGGGUGCAGUUGAAAUAUUUCAGGAAGGGUAAAAGUUUCCUGUCUGUCCAGUCAUCUGUCUU